AUAAAGAACUACUGAGCCACCUAUGCUCCUGACCCUUCCGCUUCAAGCUCCUGGCUCUUCACACUAGGGACCUGAAAAUGGUUAUUCAAUAACCAGUGAGAUAUAAAUCUCAGCGAGUUCCACCCCUAAGCCCCGGUUAGUACACCAACUCAACUCGGGGUAUCUAUCUAGAACUACCCCACCACAAGCAACAACCAACGGUCAAUUCGCAUACAACCUUACCUGGUAUGCCAUACCGUGCACGUUAUAACUCAGCACAAUACACGCAAUACACAUGGUCAUUAGAUGAUACAGUUCAUCAAUCACAUACGAGUCGCGUCACCAGCGAUCUCACCUGGCCAUUGCCAUACUCUGCACAUUAUCGAUUCAUGCGUGUGUGCCAUAAAUAAUGUGCUUAACUCAUGCAUGACCGGAAUCAACAAUGCAAUGAUUCUCAUGCGUUAUUGCACAUUAUCACAGUUCAGAAACACAAUGCAUAUACUCAAUGCAUAUUCCAGUUACUAAUGACCUACCGGCCAUAGCUAACUUUCCAAUUGGUGCUCAUCUACCUCAACACUCAUGCGUGCUCCAGAUAAUAAUGACCUCCCGGCCAUGGCUAACUUCCCAGUCAGCACUCAUCCGACUCCCGCCGGGCUACCGAUAAAAAGAUCGGGCUUCGUCCCACCCCGUCGGGCACGGCUACGUCUCGAACUCCCGUUCAGACGGUUUCCCAAAAAGGGACAUCGGUCCAGAGUCUACUGCGACCGGCUUCCGACUCCCCGUCGGGUACCGCCCCCAAACUCCCAUUCGGUGGCGUUCCAAUUCAAUCUCGUGAGCACACCACUAAAACUCCAUUUUUCUCAUGAUAACGGUCCACUUCCACGGUCCCUCGGACAAUCCAUUUUCCCUUCUUUGUGGAAAAACUUACAAUUCAUGCGGAUGUUUAUGCAAUAACACACUCAAUCACUUCAUAGAAUCAACACACAUGAAUUUUAGACACUUUUCGCAUUCUGGAUGAACAGUGCACGUGAACAGUACUCGUGAACAGUAAAUUUCCAGAAUUUAAUAAACUAUAAAUUAAAUUCAUAAAUCAUUAAAAGCAUUAAUUAAAGAAAUCAUCAAUUAAUUAAAGCCAAGCAUACUUAAUUAACCACAUAAACCACAUUAAGCAAAUAAAGCAAGAUUAAGAUAGACUAAUCUAAUUCAUCCAUCUAACCACCUAUCUUAGGGCUAAUACAAAUUAAUUAAAUCACUUAAACUAGAAUUAAAUCUAACUAAACCAACCCUAAGCAAGUUUAGGCACUAAUCGAAGGAUUAGGAGCUAAACUCACCCGUUAAGCGGGCCGGAAACACCGACGCGGCGGCGACGACGGAGGCGAUGCUCUGAGACCUCUACCACAACGAUCCAAGGCGGUCCCAAGCUCAACACAGCAACCACAGCUCAGACUCCCUCUGAAACUUCUGAAAAACAGCCCUGCCGGAGAAGAAAACAAGUUGAACGGCUUGGCCGGAGCUCCGGCGAGGAGGGUGGCUGGCAACCGGUGACACCCGGGGGUCUUGGGAGUCUUGUUGGAGGUUGGGAUGAGCAAAGGAACGGCUGGAAUGGAAGAAAACGGGCUGCAAAGUCGAAACAGGCGAAGCAGGGCGGAACCAGGCGGUCCGGCGACCGGCGUCUUGAGACGGCUGUACAGGACGACCGGCAGCUCCGUUCGGGACGAAACUGGGCUCGUUGGAACGUUCUGUCUCUCCCGGUCACGGUGAUAGGUGGAUUGUUGGCUGAUUCAUCCGGGAAGACCACUUUUGACUCGAUUCUUUGACGAAGGGUCAGCUGGAGCAGAAACUGAAGGAGAGGGAAAACGAGGAGAGAGAGAG
rnacentral:lncRNA from 1 species